AAUGCGUUUUGAGAUGGUCCUGCGGCCUAUCAGCUAGUUGGCGGGGUAACUGCCCACCAAGGUUAUGACGGGUAUCCGGCCUGAAAGGGUGAACGGACACACUGGAACUGAGACACGGUCCAGACUCCUACGGGAGGCAGCAGUGGGGAAUUUUGGACAAUGGGGGAAACCCUGAUCCAGCGACGCCGCGUGGAGGACGAAGGUCUUAGGAUUGUAAACUCCUUUUAGAGGGGAAGAAAAAAAUGACGGUACCCUCAGAAAAAGCCACGGCUAACUACGUGCCAGCAGCCGCGGUAAUACGUAGGUGGCGAGCGUUACUCGGAAUUACUAGGCGUAAAGCGUAUGUAGGCGGUUAGAUAAGUCUUUAGUGAAAUUUCUCUGCUUAACAGGGAAGGGCCUAAGGAUACUGUUUGACUUGAGUGUUGGAGGGGGAGACGGAAUUCCUGGUGUAGCGGUGAGAUGCGUAGAUAUCAGGAGGAACACCGAUGGCGAAAGCAGUCUCCUGGUCAAAUACUGACGCUAAUGUACGAAAGCUAGGGUAGCAAACAGGAUUAGAUACCCUGGUAGUCCUAGCUGUAAACGAUGUUCACUAGACGUGGGAGGUAUCGACCCCUUCCGCGUCGACGCUAACGCAUUAAGUGAACCGCCUGGGGAGUACGGCCGCAAGGUUGAAACUCAAAGGAAUUGACGGGGGCCCGCACAAGCGGUGGAGCAUGUGGUUUAAUUCGACGCAACGCGAAAAACCUUACCUGGGCUUGAACUGCUGAUGGUAAAAGCUGGAAACAGUGAUGACCCGCAAGGGAGUUAGUAGAGGUGCUGCAUGGCUGUCGUCAGCUCGUGUCGUGAGGUGUUGGGUUAAGUCCCGCAACGAGCGCAACCCUUAUCCCAUGUUACCUGUAGCGAUACAGGGUCUCUGAGGAAACUGCCAUUGAUAAAAUGGAGGAAGGUGGGGACGACGUCAAGUCAUCAUGGCCUUUAUGUCCAGGGCUACACACGUACUACGAUGGUCGGUACAGAGGGUAGCGAUAUCGCAAGAUGGAGCAAAUCCCUAAAAGCCGGCCCCAGUUCAGAUUGUGGGCUGCAAUUCGCCCAUCAUGAAGUAGGAAUC
rnacentral:rRNA from 1 species